GCUUCAUGAUGAUAUCAAGGCAAAUGUGACCCCUACCAGAGGGCUGCUCUAGCAACUUGUUCCCUAUAUACAGGUCUGUAAUCUUGGUGGGCAAUGCAGAGCAGUGCAAGUUCGCUGUAAGGGCAGACCUACAGGAUCUCCCAUUCCUUGCAGCCUCCUCUCCAGAAGAGCUAUCCACUUCUUUGCAAAGUCAGCAACUUAGUGGGACAGGGAUACGGGUACAAGGCAAGCCCAGUGUGUCCAGGUAACAGGUUGCUAUGUGCUGCCAGAGUUAAGUGUUUGGGGCAUCAUGAGCACAAGUCUUUGGUAAUCUGAAAGCA